rnacentral:rRNA from 1 species
UGCGCAGGCGGACUCGUAAGUCAGUGGUGAAAGCCCGGGGCUCAACCCCGGAACUGCCAUUGAUACUGCUUGUCUUGAGUAUAGUUGAAGUGGGCGGAAUGUGUAAUGUAGCGGUGAAAUGCAUAGAGAUUACACAGAACACCAAUUGCGAAGGCAGCUCACUAAGCUAAAACUGACGCUGAGGCACGAAAGCGUGGGGAGCGAACAGGAUUAGAUACCCUGGUAGUCC